AGCAAGAUGAAGAGAUCUGUUUAAUGGCUGAAUUUGAUGUAGAAUUCCCAUAUCAUUAUAAUGGUCUUCAAAGUUCUCUGAUUGCU
rnacentral:snoRNA from 1 species